GAACCUGUCAAUUCUAAAAUCCCCAUUGAUGUAUUGAACAUUAAAUUGAAGAGAUUCAAAAAGUUCUUUAAAGGAUGGGGUGUGAACCUUUUCGGAAAAUCAAGGAAGAGGAGAAGUGAACUAAGAGAGGAAUUAGAGCACCUGGAAAAAAUGGAAGAAACAGAUGUACUGUCUCCUGAAUUAUAUGAGAGGAAGGUUGAUAUACUAGCAGAAUUGUACAAUUUGUUAGUGGAAGAGGAGGUGGCUUGGAUGCAAAAAUCUCAUGAAAACUGGCUUUUGAAAGGGGACAGAAACACUGACUAUUUCCACAAAAUUGUGAAUGGGAGAAGACGAAGAAACACUAUAUUUUCACUUAGUUGUGGGGACGAGAUAAUUGAAGGGAACAAUAACCUCUUGAAACAUGCCACAAACUUUUAUAAAGACCUUUUUGGUCCGGCAGCUGGAAACUUAUGUAAGAUGAGGGAGAAUAUGUGGGAAUCACAUGAGAAACUGUGAGACAUUGACAACUUUAUCCUUACUAGACCCUUCUCUGAAACAGAGAUCAAGAAUGCUUUAUUCUCUAUGAAACCAAAUAAAGCUCCAGGUCCAGAUAAUAUUCCUAUUGAGUUUUUCCAGCACUGUUGGGGGGUAGUUAAAAGUGAAGUGAUGUUGCUAUUUGAUUGGUUUCAUGAUAACAAACUUGAUGUGUAG
rnacentral:rRNA from 1 species